GUUAACCCCGUGACAGACGGCGCGGUAAUACGGUGGGGGCAAGCGUUAAUCGGAAUGACUGGGCGUAAAGCGCACGCAUGUGGCUGGGAAAGUCUAUUGUGAAAGCCCUGGGCUUAACCUGGGAAUUGCAGUCGAAACUACUCGGCUAGAGUAUGGGAGAGGGUAGUGGAAUUCCCGGUGUAGCGGUGAAAGGCGUAGAUAUCGGGAGGAACAUCAGUGGCGAAGGCGGCUACCUGGCCCAAUACUGACACUCAGGUGCGACAGCGUGGGGAGCAAACAGGAUUAGAUACCCUAGUAGUC
rnacentral:rRNA from 1 species